AUACUUACCUGGUAGGGGGAAUACCACGAUCAAGAAGGUGGUUUCCCCAGGUCGAGGUUCUUCCAUUGAACAUUUUAGUUGGAUUGACCUUUGUGAUUUCUCCAAAUGUGGGAAACUCAACUGCAUAAUUUCUGGUACCAUUGUAAAUACUACUAUA